CCUACGGGUGGCUGCAGUGGGGAAUAUUGCACAAUGGGCGCAAGCCUGAUGCAGCCAUGCCGCGUGUGCGAAGAAGGCCUUCGGGUUGUAAAGCACUUUCAGCGGGGAGGAAGGCGGUGAGGUUAAUAACCUCAUCGAUUGACGUUACCCGCAGAAGAAGCACCGGCUAACUCCGUGCCAGCAGCCGCGGUAAUACGGAGGGUGCAAGCGUUAAUCGGAAUUACUGGGCGUAAAGCGCACGCAGGCGGUCUGUCAAGUCGGAUGUGAAAUCCCCGGGCUCAACCUGGGAACUGCAUUCGAAACUGGCAGGCUAGAGUCUUGUAGAGGGGGGUAGAAUUCCAGGUGUAGCGGUGAAAUGCGUAGAGAUCUGGAGGAAUACCGGUGGCGAAGGCGGCCCCCUGGACAAGGACUGACGCUCAGGUGCGAAAGCGUGGGGAGCAAACAGGAUUAGAUACCCCAGUAGUC
rnacentral:rRNA from 1 species